AUGCUCUAUCAUUCAUCACCCUUUUCACAUUCUUCUUCUUCUUCUCUUCACACAGAUCUUCUUCUCACCUUUCACUUUCUCUCUCUCUCAAUUCACUUUCUGAGCUUCUGGUUGUUCCACUUUUUCCUCUCUCAUUGGAGAAGCUUAAAGAUACUAAAGCUUUGGUAUCGAGAUAUUAGAGCUGGAUAUGAAGGUAUCUUUUGUGAGUUCAUAAGUUUGAUAAAGCGGCGUCAUUGA